CAUUAGGUUGCUUUUGGUAUUUGUGGCUUGUGUAGUAUGGUUUCUAAUUGUUACAUUGUUUUUAAUUAGAUCAUGGCCCGCGCCCCCCUCCUCCCUUUUUUUUCCCCCUCCUUUUUAAGUUAUUUUCAAGUUUCUUAUCAUACCCCAUACCUAUGAAUUAAGUGGUGUAUUAGUAGUCUUUUCUGUUAUUUCAUUAUCUCCAACAAU
rnacentral:misc_RNA from 1 species